AAUUUCAGCUGAAAAAGUCAUGAACAUAAAAGUUGUAGAGCUCAUCAAGACAUACAACUUUUAUUUUGAUCAUUUCUUCAUCCGAUAAAGUGACAGUAGUAUUAUUCACAAAGUUUACAUAUCUCCUUUAUAGUUUAUAGAACCAAAUGAUAUAGAUGUAAAUUUUGUAAACAAUACUACUAUCACUUUGUCGGAUGAAGAAAUGACCAAAAUAAAAGUUAUAGAUCUUGAUGAGUUAUACAACUUUGUUGUUGAUGACUUUUUCCAGUUGAAAUC
rnacentral:pre_miRNA from 1 species